UCUCCCUUUGUCCUGCAUAUUCCAUACUACAAUUGUGCAGCUGUCAGUGCUGGGAUUGGAGAGAGAGGAGAAACUCAUAUGCAUCUGAUUAUCGGUAAUAAUGGGUCUAAAUCUUUUAUUUAUUUUGUUUUUGUUGCUGGUCCUAUAUGUGACACUCUGCAGAUCCGAGACACAGAACUCUACUCCCGGACAUCACCUUGUAGUUACCAGUUACAUUUUUACAUCUAAGUAUUCUCAGGAAGAAAAUAACAUUAUUAAAGGACUAUUCACCCGAUGUACAAGAGUAUUUUCUUGCAUGAAUGGAUGGAAAAUUUUCUCCAGUGCAAUCGUCAUGAUAGCCAUGCUGCUGUGGCAACCUUGCCCUCUAGCAGCACUCCUGAGCCAGGACUGCACGAUGAGCCUCCCGGCAUGGAACGCAAGCUGCCUAGGUUGCUAUGUCAACCAGGUCAAGCUACGACCUUGAAGUGUGGCACGGCGGCGGCCGGAGACGGGAGUGGCGGCGAGAGAUGGGAAGGAUGAUGCUGCUGGCUCUGGGGUACAUUAGAGGGUAACUGAAGAUGGCUUUGGAAAAAAAGGAGAGAACUGAGGUCAUUUUGAUGUCUGGAGAACAAAGUUUCCAUGUCAUACCUGCAGAUAUUAACAACCGGGACCCAUAAAGACCUCCUACUUUAACAACCGGCACCCAGAAAGGCCUACAUUGUGGUGUGUGAUAUGGGAUACCCCUGUAAUUGGAUCCCUUUUCAUUAAGCAAAACCUAAAUACACAAAGCUACCUUAAAAUGCUGCAAGAAGUGAUGUUCCCCUCAAUUCUGAAUAAAGAUGGCAGCUUCUCCGGUUUCUUUCAACAGAAUGGGGCUCCACCACACUACAGAGCAAUUGUUCGUUAGUGGUCAGAUGGUCAAUUUACUGGUCAUUGUAUUGGCCAAUAUGGUUCUGUGGAAUGGCCACCCAGAUUGCCUGACCUCAGGCUACUUGACUUUUAUCUGUGAGGUCAUUUAAAACAACUCGUGUAUGUGGAGAAAAUAAGAAACAGACAUCAUAUCCAGCAAUGCAUUGAAGAAGCGUGUGCCAACAUUUCUUCGGAAAUCCUUCUGUGAGUGCAUGACAAUUGGAUCCAGUGCCUUCAAAUUUGUUUUGACUAAGAGGGACAACAUGUUUAACACCUAAAAUGACUGCCCUUUAUGGAGAACACUUCAGCCUGUAAAUCCCCCCAAAAAGUGCUAAUUUUGACCCAUAACUGCUAUUUCAAAUCUGUUUGCAUCAAUAAAGGUUUCUGCGAAUUCUGUUGCUGUUUGAGAU